rnacentral:lncRNA from 1 species
UCAUGAACUUGUAUAAAAUAUUGCACCCCUUCAAGAUAUAUCUCUUUCAUCUCUGGUGAUGGCUUACCCUCUUUAUUUUCGCUCAAAUCAUCUCCUCUGUGAAUGAGUUCUCAAAAUUAAAUUCCAGAAUUAUUGUUAUCAUUGUCUAAAUAUUCAUCAUCUGAAAUUUAAGAAUGGGAGUGUGAAGUUAUGAAAGGUAACAAGGCAUGGAAUAAUGGUCAAGUGAAAGAGAAAAAUGUAAUGAAA